rnacentral:rRNA from 1 species
AUUGAACGCUGGCGGCAGGCCUAACACAUGCAAGUCGAACGAGUGGCGGACGGGUGCGUAAUGUCUGGGAAACUGCCCGCUGGAGGGGGAUAACUACUGGAAACAGUAGCUAAUACCGCAUACCAUCGGAUGUGCCCAGAUGGGAUUAGCUAGUAGGUGGGGUAAGGGCUCACCUGGGCGACGCUCCCUAGCUGGUCUGAGAGGAUGACCAGCCACACGGGAACGGAGACACGGCCCAGACUCCUACGGGAGGAAGCAGUGGGGAAUAUUGGACAAUGGUCGCAAGCCUGAUGCAGCCAUGCCGCGUGUAUGAAGAAGGCCUUCGGGUUGUAAAGUACUUUCAGCGAGGAGGCGUUACUCGCAGAAGAAGCACCGGCGAACUCCGUGCCAGCAGCCGCGGUAAUAC